rnacentral:rRNA from 1 species
AAUCUUCAACCUAAAAGCCUUUGCGGGUUUGUUAGGCUUGGACUUGGAGGCUUGUCGGCUCAUUAGUCGGCUCCUCUUAAAUGCAUUAGCUUGGUUCCUUGCGGAUCGGCUGUCGGUGUGAUAAUUGUCAACGCCGCGACCGUGAAGCGUUUGGCGAGCUUCUAACCGUCUCGUUAGAGACAGAUUAU